UUUUUAUUUGGCACAUGAAUUUUGAAAGUUAUCGUCAGAUAUACACGAACUUAAAUAUUGUUGUAAAUUUUUCACAGAUUGAAUAUGAAAUCAAAAUUAAAAAUAACUUGUUACAUAGUCGACAUAGUACCAUUUCAUCAAAACGGUGUCGUUUUACUUAUGCAAUAAUUUUAAAAAAAAAAAAUAGAUGUCAUACUAUUUCUUUCUCUAUCUCCCACAACAGUCACCGCCGUUAUUUACAUUUUCACAACAACAAUUUUUUACUAGCACACGCACACUGUCGUGGUCGAAACCUCCCAAAAUUAUUGGUAUUCUCUGUCAUUU
rnacentral:lncRNA from 1 species